AGCCCUCUGGCGGUGAGAUGCAGUAAUGCGCCUUAUUAAGGCAGAAAAUGUCAGCUUUGCAAUUAAACUUUGUAGUAAUGGCGGAUUUGUGAAGUUACCGUCCGGAUCCACCAAACGGACAGCUCGUUUUCAACUUCAUGUGUACCUGGGAGAGAAACCGGGCGCCAUCUUUGGCAGUUUCCAAAGAGUCAGAAGUGUUGCUAAAAUGGAAUAAAAAUGUCGUCAGAAACAGCGUGGAACUCCCCCUGGAUCUUGAAGCCGCGGUGCACGACGAAGGCCGAGCUCAGCACAGAGAACCUGAAUCCAGCCACAUGCAGCUCGCACGCCUGGACAACAAAACAAAAACAGAAACACCAGAAGG